GAACCAGAAAAUGAGCCAAAUAGUCAAAAUUAAUCGGCGCAUACCCCCUGAAAGCAAGAAGAACUGUU
rnacentral:tRNA from 1 species